GACAUGAAGGAAGAAGGUGAAGCUCAGCUUUCGUCUCAGCCUCUUCAACCCUAAAUCGACUCUGUACUCCCUCUCCCUGCAGUUCCUCUCCGUCGCUCGCCUUUCGUCUCCAACUCUCCGGCUCCGACUCUCCUUGAAUCUCUCUUUACCGAAGAUAUGUCGAUCAAUGGGAAGGGCCGCAACCCAGAAAUAAGUAAAUGGUUGCACGGGAGAAAGGACCAGAUCAAGAUUCAUGGUUUCUGAGCUUCUGAAUUUAUUGUCAGACUUUGAUUCAUUUUCAGAUGCUUGAGGAAGCUCCUCACAUCAGAAAUGGAGUUCAACUUUCAAUUGUUCAAGGAUACCUGUCAAAGUUUUACAGGGGAUACGGAACAUGGGUUGCAAGAAAUCCUACCCUCGUGCUGUUUGCAUCUCUAUCUGCAGUCCUUGUACUUUGUCUAGGUUUGAUUCGUUUCAAGGUGGAGACGAGGCCUGAGAAGGCCUCCUCCAUGAAGAACUUCCUUAAUAAUCAGAGAGCCACAAAUGUGCCUCUACUCUUGCUAAAGAAUCAGCUUCUACCUCCAUUCUCAAUACAAGAGAUAACUCUAUUCUAGCAUAGCUGUUUCUCAGUCAAUUAUCCUUUCGGAAAGAGGCAUAUUCUAUUGCCUAGGAAUUCAAAUAAUUCUAGAGGUUUAUUGUAUGAGAAGUGAGAAUUUGUCUCGGCAAUGAGAAUUUCACAGUAUCAUGUGACAUGAAUCAUACACGUGG